AAGUCGUAACAAGGUUUCCGUAGGUGAACCUGCGGAAGGAUCAUUACAGAGUUCAUGCCCUCACGGGUAGACCUCCCACCCUUGUGUAUCUAUACCAUGUUGCUUUGGCAGGCUGCUCGCCCCCUCGGGGGAGAGCCUCAGCGCCCCUGGGCCUGAGAGUCGCCUGCCGGAGGAAAAACAAACUCUGAACUGUUAGUGUCGUCUGAGUACUAUAUCUUAAUAGUUAAAACUUUCAACAACGGAUCUCUUGGUUCUG
rnacentral:misc_RNA from 1 species